UCCGUAGGUGAACCUGCGGAAGGAUCAUUAAUGAUUAACUGUCUGUCGAGCUUGCUCACAGACUUAUCAUAUCCAUAACACCUGUGCACUUGUCGGAUGGCUUAGUGAAGACCGCAAGGUUGGAUCUAUCCAUCUACUUUACAUAACAAUUUAGUAACAAAUGUAGUCUUAUUAUAACAUAAUAAAACUUUCAACAACGGAUCUCUUGGCUCUCGCAUCGAUGAAGAACGCAGCGAAAUGCGAUAAGUAAUGUGAAUUGCAGAAUUCAGUGAAUCAUCGAAUCUUUGAACGCACCUUGCGCUCCCUGGUAUUCCGGGGAGCAUGCCUGUUUGAGUGUCAUGAAAACCCUCAACCUUAGAUUGGUUAACACCUUUCUUUGGCUUGGAUUUGGACGUUUGCCGAUGAUAAGUCGGCUCGUCUUAAAAGUAAUAGCUGGAUCUGUCUCGCGACAUGGUUUGACUUGGCGUAAUAAGUAUUUCGCUAAGGACAUCUUCGGAUGGCCGCGUUGCAAGACUAAAGACCGCUUUCUAAUCCAUUGAUCUUCGGAUUAAUAUUCUUGACAUCUGGCCUCAAAUCAGGUAGGACUACCCGCUGAACUUAAGCAUAUCAAUAAGCGGAGGA
rnacentral:rRNA from 1 species